rnacentral:pre_miRNA from 1 species
AAUAAGAUUAUUUUUCGUUUUUCCGUGUCUAAUAUUUGAUCAUUUAUCUUAUUUGAAAAAGUUUUGCGAUUAAUAUUAUUGUUUUUCCUAUAUGAUAAAACAUGAAUAAUACUUUAUGCGUGACUAAUUUUUUAAAGUUUUUAUAUAAUUUUUUAAAUAAGACGAAUGGUCAAACGUUGGACACGGAAAAAC